ensembl:lncRNA
CAUUUAGCAACAAAUCAACCUGCCUCUAGCAAUUUACCCAGAAAAUAAAUUGGCAACACCUGCGACUGGAGUGUAACUGUAAAAUGGCGCCCGGUGAAAUCUGAGUGGAAAAUAAAAGGGAAUGUAAUAAAAGAGCACAGAGACAAUUUGUGACUCCAAUGCACAAGAAUAACGCUUCUACGGGCGUGUCCAUCCAAACAGUCAAGUUGGAAGGAAGAAGGUAAAGAGUAGCGAAAAGUAUGGAAGGUUUGUUUGAGGAGCUAGUGAGGCUGAAGGUCCACAGUGUCCCCAGUAUCGGAUGAAGGAGUUCCUGGAGUCCCUGUCCAACAAGCGCUCAGAGGCACUGCAGGAGUUCAACCAGCAGGCAGGUGUUAUCACUACAACCACCACCAUGGUUUACCAGCAGGGGGUCAACUGCAUCUACACAGACGGCAACGAGGUGGCUGGGUCACUGCUGGAACUGUCUGUCUGCAACAGCAGGUGCAGGUGUCCCAGCAGAAGGGGAUGUCAUGACAGCAGCAGCUCUCGCCCCAUAUGACCACUGCCGCAAGGCCAAGACAUAAUACAGGUCAGGACUUUUUCCUCGUUCUCCUUUCUCUCCCUUCUUUCUCCCUCAUCAUUCUGUCUCUGUCUGUCUCACUGCCACUCUCCUAAAAAUGAGUGGCAAUUAUUAAAGUGCAUUCAGAAAGUAUUCAGACACCCUUUAUUUAUUCCAGAUUGUUACGUUACAGCCUUAUUCUAAAAUUGAUCAAAUAUUUUUUUCCUCCUCAAUCUACACACACUACCACAUUAUGACAAAGCAAAUACAGGUUUAGACUUUUGCAAAAAAAAAGUCACAUUUACCCUUUACCCAUUAGUACUUUAUUGCAGCAAUUACAGCCUUGAGUCUUCUUGGGUAUGACCAUACAAGCUUGGCACACCUAUUUUGGGGGAUUUUCUCCCAUUUCUCUCUGCAGAUCCUCUCAAGCUGUCAGGUUGGAUGGGGAGCAUCGCUGCACAGCUAUUUUCAGGUCUCUCCAGAGAUGUUAGGUCAGGUUUAAGUCUGGGCUCUGGCUGGGCCACUCAAGGACAUUCAGAGACUUGUCCCGAAGCUACUCCUGUGUUGUCCUGGCUGUGUGCUUAGGGUCGUUCUUCUGUUAGGUGAACCGUCGCCGCAGUUGGAGGUCCUGAGUGCUCUGGAGCAGGUUUCCAUCAAGGAUCUUGCUGUACUUUGCUCAAUUCAUCUUUCCCUUGAUCCUAACUAAUCUCCCAGUCUCUGCCAUUGAAAAACAUCCCCACAGAUGCUGCCACCACCAUGCUUCACCAUAGAGAUGGUGCCUCCAGACGUGACACUGGGCAUUCAGGCCAAAGAGUUCAAUCUUGGUUUCAUCAGACUAGAGAAUCUUGUUUCUCAUGGUCUGAGAGUCUUUGGGUGUCUUUUGGCAAACUCCCAAGUGGACUGUUGUGCCUUUUACUGAGGUGUGGCUUCUGUCUCGCCAUUCUACCAGAAAGGCCUGAUUUGGUGGAGUGCUGCUCAGAUGGUUGUCCUUCUGGAUGGUUCUCCCAUCUCCAUACAGAAAGUCUUGAGCUCUGUCAGUGACCAUCGGGUUCUUGGUCACCUUUCUGAUCAAGGCCCUUCUCUCCCAUUUGGCGAGCCAGCCAGCUCUAGUUAGUCUUGGUGGUUCCAAACUUCCAUUUAAGAAUGAUGGAGGCCACUGUGUUCUUGGGGACCUUCAAUGCUGUAGAUAUUUUUUGAUACCCUUCCCCAGAUCUGUGCCUCGACACAGUCCGGUCUCGGAGCUCCCAAGUUGUAGAAACAUCUCAAGGAUGAUCAAUGGAAACAGGAUGCACCUGAGCUCAAUUUCAACUCUAAUAGCAAAGUGUCUGAAUACUUAUGUAAAUAACAUAUUUCUGUUUGAAAUUUUUGCCAAUUUAUGUAUUUUUUUGUAAAAACACUUUACUUUGUCAUUAUGGGGUAAUGUGUGUAGAUUAAGAUUUUAAUUAUUUGAUCCAUUUUAGAAUAGGGCUGUAACGUAACAAGAUCUGUAAAAAGUCAAGGGGUCUGAAUACUUUCCAAAUGCACUGUAUUUCUAGAUAUUUUUUUGUUAACCAGUCUUGCUCACUGCUACUUGUUUCUCUUUGUCAUGAUUAUGCCUCUGCAGUUUCUUCCUUUUUUUUUUUCUUUCACUUUCAUAAUUUUCCUUACCUGAGUAUUGCCUAGCCGUGAACAGGUAUAUGGAGUCACCUGAAAGUUCACACUCAGGAUGUACUUUCCUCUCUGUUUUUCCUGCCAGCUUUGCGUUACUGGACUGAACAGACCUGGGAUGACCUCAUUAAGCUGGCUGGAGGCACAGUGAAUAAUGCUCAGGCCAUAGUGCCCUCCUUAACAACUAUCACCACAGUGGCAGUGAAUGACUUGCAGACCUUUGGCCCCUCUGACCAGGGUUGUGUUCAAUUGGAGCAAAUGGGAGAAAACACUUUGAAAAUGGAAGAGGUGCCACAUGAAUUUGUCAUUUAGGAACACUGACUUUGGUUUUCUGUUUGAAAAUGUUUUUUUCAAGCUAGGCUUAGUCAUGGUUGACAAACCACUUUUUACAUUGGUUUGUCAACCAUUGGUCUCAGCCAUUGGUCCAGCUAGGCAGGGUAGUAAUACUGUGCUGUCUACGGGACAGCCCCUCGGAAACACAGACACACUCACUAUCAACACUCUACCACACACGCAACAGACAGACGAUUAAACUUGGAAUUAGCCUAAAUCUCUCGACCAAUGGCUGAGACUAAUGGUGUUACAUUAAAAUAGAUGACGAUCUCGGCCUCACCUGUCGUAAGUGAAUGAUGGUGAUGAAAUAAUCUGGACCCCGUUUACGAGACACUGUGGUAAACUUUACCACUCAGUACUCGUCACACAGCACCUGGAGUAACAUGGUCUAACUAAUAGAAGUAGAGAAACGACUGCAUGCUGUGUUAGCGGAAUCAGAAUUCUUUAGGUAACAUUGAUAAAUAAGAUGUUUUAUCAAUGUUCAUAAGUAUGCUUAUGUGGGAAAAGUUACUUGGGCCCCAGAGAGGGGAGAGGUCAGGCUUGUCUUCUUAUGGGAAUGUGUCUAACUAUUACUUGUCCCCUCAGGUUGCCUUUCUCUUGAUUUAGUAUAUGUCCUAGGAGGCUCACUGUCUCUGAGCUUGUCCAGGAGGGGUUGUAUUUUUGUUGGGAGUGUCUAGUAUUGAUAUAUGCCAUUGGAUGAGGUAAAGUUUUGGUUCUAAGUGGUACCAAGAAUGAGAAGAACUUAGUUUAGGAGACCAAACUGAAUAAUUUAUAGCCAAUGCUGUCUGGCUAUGUGUGUCUUUGCUAUAAAUGAUCUGUUGCCAUUAUGUAAGCACUCUCAGAAUUCAUUUAUGGACACAAUUGAUCUGAGUCACAGGGCUAUGGUGAAGCUCAUAUAAUUAAAGAUGGACUUUAUGAUAACUCUGACUUGUGUGUGGUUUGCUCUCUCAUGAUUUGGUAAUACAGGAAAUUUCCACGACAAUGCACAGCAGGAAAUGUGACACUUCUGACACAUUUUGCUAGAUACACCCAUACUCUGUGCAGCACCCAAACCAAGUGGCAAGAAUAUGCUUAUGAAGAUUCUUCCUAAAUUCAUGGGCAGCAUUCUGAGCAAUGUGAAACCAGAAGAACUAUGCACGUCUAUUGGUCGAACUUGAUGCUGUGAAUGUAAUCAACAUAUUACCCAUGAAGAUUUUCUACAUUUUGAUUAUUGUUCAGUGUCCAAUCACCAUCAAAUCCAUCACUCACCAUGUCCUUCUGUUUCAGGGGGGUCACCAUGAAGAUGAUCCUAACAUUCUGCUCCCACACCAUCCUCCAGAAGUCAGCCAUGGUGCUGCGCAAAGGACCCUGGCUACAGAUUAAGUCUGGCUCUGUACAGCCCCCUGAAAAGCAGACCACUGACUUGAUGAAUGGAUAUAUGGACAGACAGAGUACUUACAGGGACAUAACUAGCGUUGAUAUAGCUUCACUCUACAGUGGUAAUCUGAAAUCACAGGGACUGUUAUUAAUCAACGUGAUCAGAAAGUGGGAAGCAUUACCGAACAUGGGAGAGAUGUGAAGGAUGUGUUCAUGUACUUAGAUACAGCAGGUUAUAUAAUCAUGGUAAUUACACUCCUAUUACUCAGGGGCAGCAUGUGGUGGUGCUAUGAUACUCUCAAGGCAGUAUGUAGGGGUAUCUGUUCUCUCUGUUAGCCUUCCAGGUCUCCAGCCCUGGUAGUGAGUUCUUUACCAUCAUCCAGCUCCUGAAGAAUAAACAGCUAAUGGGACACUAUGAAACAGCCACAGCAGACACUGCACAAAGACUCCAAAGCACAAUCAUCUACUGUAUGGUGUGGUCUCACAAGACUGAUGGCCUAGAUUAGUGAGUUUGGUUUACCUCAAACCGCCCUUGGCAGCGAGUGAUUGAAAGCACAGGUGGAAUUCCUGUAGUAUAUGUGCCCGUGAAAGCACCCUUAUUCGAUGUGGAAAUAUGGCAACAGUCUUCAGCCGAUUAAAACAUGUUUUGUUAAACAACUCUUUAAAUUGAGCUCCAAUUUUCCUCAAAGUGGUGUUUUUACAAGUGACUACACCCAUAAUGUUCUUAAUUCCAUCAUUCCAUGCUUCUGGGUUGGACUUGAGAAAACAAUAGGCUAAAACACUUCACUAACAGCACUCAGUUACUGUAUAUCAACUAAUGAAAGGUUACUUUUCUCUUCCAUAUUUUAGCAGAUGCUCUUAUCCAGAGCAAUUACGGUUAAGUGCCUUGCACAUCAACAUAUUUUUCACCUAGUUGGCCUCAGGGAUUCGAACCUUUCGGUUACUGGCCCAACGCUCUUAACCGCUCCGCUACCUGCCGCCCAUACCAUUUCACAAAGACUUAAGUUAUUAUAUCCACUCCUUCAGUGACUUUCAGGGUUCCUCACCUCAUGUUUGUUAGGGGUGCAGAGAUUAGGCAAAGCUUCCUUUGGUAACCAAGAACGGAAGUAUAGUGUAGAGGGAGCCAGGCUGGUGAGGUGGUGUUGGGUAGUUUUAAAAGAAAUGUGAUCAGAUGAUCACAAAGCCAAAUCCCCCACCCACCCCUGCUAGCUAAAGAGGAAUUUGGACACACAGUGGCUCUCACACACAAGGAUUCGAACACCAACCUGAGAACACUAUAAAAACCUGCAUCAACAGGUCAACAACAACUCAAAACACAGGUAAAGCACAGAGUGAGCAACCACAGCCUAGUGUUCCUUAUUAGUUAGUAUCACCUUUGUAAGUGCUCCUUUGAGUGAGAAAGAGUUUAGAGUGCAACGGGGGCUCUUCCCAUCGAUGUGUUAUGUCCUGUCAAGUUGUCAGUCUCCAAUUAUCCAAGCCACCACAUUUUAUUCUCUCUCAAUUCAAAGGGCUUUAUUGGCAUAGGAAACAUGUUUACAUUGCCAACGCAAGUGAAUAGAUAAUAAGCAAAAGUGAAAUAAACAAUCAAAAAUUAACUGUAAACAUUACACUCACAAAGGUUUCAGAGAAAUGGAGACAUUUCAAAUGUCAUUGUGGCUAUGUACAGUGUUAUAAUGAUAGUUAAAGUACAAAAGAGAAAAUAAUAAAACAUAAAGAUGGGUUGUAUUUA